GACGAACGCUGGCGGCGUGCCUAAUACAUGCAAGUAGAACGCUGAACAGAGGAGCUUGCUCUUCUUGGAUGAGUUGCGAACGGGUGAGUAACGCGUAGGUAACCUGCCUUGUAGCGGGGGAUAACUAUUGGAAACGAUAGCUAAUACCGCAUAACAAUGGAUGACACAUGUCAUUUAUUUGAAAGGGGCAAUUGCUCCACUACAAGAUGGACCUGCGUUGUAUUAGCUAGUAGGUGAGGUAAUGGCUCACCUAGGCGACGAUACAUAGCCGACCUGAGAGGGUGAUCGGCCACACUGGGACUGAGACACGGCCCAGACUCCUACGGGAGGCAGCAGUAGGGAAUCUUCGGCAAUGGGGGCAACCCUGACCGAGCAACGCCGCGUGAGUGAAGAAGGUUUUCGGAUCGUAAAGCUCUGUUGUAAGUCAAGAACGGGUGUGAGAGUGGAAAGUUCACACUGUGACGGUAGCUUACCAGAAAGGGACGGCUAACUACGUG
rnacentral:rRNA from 1 species